rnacentral:rRNA from 1 species
GGGGGAUCUUAGGACCUCUCGCUACAGGGGCGGCCGAUGGCAGAUUAGCUAGUUGGUGGGGUAAAGGCCUACCAAGGCGACGAUCUGUAGCUGGUCUGAGAGGACGACCAGCCACACUGGGACUGAGACACGGCCCAGACUCCUACGGGAGGCAGCAGUGGGGAAUUUUGGACAAUGGGGGCAACCCUGAUCCAGCAAUGCCGCGUGUGUGAAGAAGGCCUUCGGGUUGUAAAGCACUUUUGUCCGGAAAGAAAACGUCGUGGUUAAUACCCGUGGCGGAUGACGGUACCGGAAGAAUAAGCACCGGCUAACUACGUGCCAGCAGCCGCGGUAAUACGUAGGGUGCAAGCGUUAAUCGGAAUUACUGGGCGUAAAGCGUGCGCAGGCGGUCCGCUAAGACAGAUGUGAAAUCCCCGGGCUUAACCUGGGAACUGCAUUUGUGACUGGC